rnacentral:tRNA from 1 species
GGCGGCAUGGCCAAGUGGUAAGGCGGGGGACUGCAAAUCCUUUAUCCCCAGUUCAAAUCCGGGUGUCGCCUGAUCAAUAAA